UUCGAAAAUAUCUUGAAACCCAAGCCAAUAAAAACAUAUUAGGUCUAGGAAGCAAGCUUAUUCAUUCCUCUUUUCUUCAUGAUUAUCUUUCAAGUUAAGAAAGCUUUCACAAGCUUAUUUUUCUACUUGUCAACAUGCACAAAAGCUAUUUAAAAAAAAAAAUUUGCUACAAAUCGAUACUAACAGCAAUAGCCAUUUAAGUUGGAAAGUAAGAAAAAAAAAAGAGAAUCCAAACAAACUUAAGUAGUUCAUUCUAGCAGGAAACUGAAGACCUUUUGCAACAGCAAUGGACAGGUUUGAAAGUAACUUUCCCACAACCUGCUUUUAUCCUGCAAUAAAUUAAAAAUCGAGGGACAAAAUACUAGUAAAAGAAAAGUAGAAUGAGGGAAAAAAUAGAGGCUUUUGGCGGGAGGAGAUGCCUGAGGAAUGAGGAUGAUUUUGAACCUUUUGCCAAUUCUUGGGUGAGAAGGCAGGCUACAAUAUUCUGACCAGCAACCAAUAUUGAACUCCAAAGAAAUCCUGACAAUAGAACACACACCCGCAGCAAAACUAAUUGAAAGAUCAAAACAACCCCAACUCUCACCUCACUAAAGGAAAAGAGAACCAAAAAAAACUGGAUUUGAAGAUGCUAUUUCUAGCUUGAUACAGUCUUCAAAAUCAUGGCAAAUAUAUAAAUAUAUAACAAUUUUAAAUCUUACUUGAAUAUAUUCUCACCUGCUUAUUUAAAUGUCAAAAAAGUAGUAUCUGUACCUUAAGCUUGGACGUUUUUUCUUGUUAACCUUUCUAAUCAAGUAGCUUACUCAAAUUAAGACAUGGUAACUAGCGGGAAUUGCCAGGAGAACCUGAUUAUGGUUUUUCUGGAAAAAUCUUUCAUCAAGGUGCUUCAGAACAGAACUCAAUCCAAACCCAGAUAAGGAAAAAUCUAUGGGAAGCUAUCAAAUGUAACUACCAUACUAGUUAGAAGAAUUGUUAGAGAUCAACAAAAUGAAGGAAAUCAAAACAAGACUAAUAAGUGAACUCUAUCAAAUAUAACAACCCAUACUAGUUAGAAGAAUUGUUAAAGAACACAAUGAAGGAAAUCAAAGCAAGACCAAUAAGUGAGCUCUCAUAGACUAGGUGUUACAACUCUACACAAAAAAAAAAAAAAAACUGCAGAUAAAUCAAUGGUGCAAUCAACUUUUAUGCAGGGGUCACAGCAAUAUUCUGUUCAUCAUUCCAGCUUUUUCUCAAAGGACAUGCAGUCCUAAGUAAUUAUAACUAGGGUGAUAUUCAGAUACAGUUUGCCAAUCAAAGAGUAAAAACAUCUGAUGGGUCUCUAUGGCAGUAUAAGACAUGUACUUUCCACCUUGAGCUUUGAAAUUGAAAAUGUUCUGGCUACCAUAUAAUUUAGAUAGCAAAGAACUGUUGUACUUGUCAUAAUCAUAAAGGCACCAUGCAAAUGCAUCAAACCCAGACCAUUUCUUUUGGACACAAUAAUUGCAUGCAUUUACCAUUGGGCAUCAAAUUCUUUGCAGGUGUACCAAAAAAGGGGAAAGAGUGAUAAAAAAAACAAAAAUAUAAGCAAAAAUGUAUAAAAUUCUAGCACGUCUGUAUCAAUUAAAAUGCUAAAAAGUUGUAUUGGGUGAUUUUCAAACAAGCAACCACCCUUAGACAGGACUAUAAUUUGCAGGACCAAGCAAAUUAUGUUAAAUCUUACCAAAUUGUAACAGAACUCAGCAACCCAAAAGAACUGCAACAUAUGGAGCAUUAACUGGUCAGCAAAUCCAUAAACAAAGAAAGAAAAAGCAGAAAAGGGAAGCCAUUGAAGCAGAUGUUCACUCCUUUUGUCAAUGGAAGAUGAAAAUCAGCAGGAAAAAAUUUGGUUAAAAAAAUCAGGAAAAAAAUUUGCGAUCUAUCUCUCGAUUUGUGCGUGUCAUCCGCCCACGACGGCGGUUGGAUUUUUCUACUUUAAGAGCCAAACAUAAGCAAAGCUAAGCAAUGUGGGAGUUUUCCGCUUUCGACACAUGCUGUUGACCAUUUGGCAUCACCUUGUUGACUCGCGAAUCGGUAGAGACUCA
rnacentral:lncRNA from 1 species